UAAGUUCAGUGUUGUAGACAAGUCUUCC
rnacentral:piRNA from 1 species